ensembl:lncRNA
CAAACAUUUAGUGUCAUUCUGCCCCAGCCAUGGGCCCAGAAUCCUCAGCCACCUUACAGCAGUCCCAGCUCAGCAGGAAGUAUCCAGAGAUACCUUGACACUCCUAUUCCCAAAGAACUGGGCCUCCCAUCUCUUGAAGGGAGAAUGUUAGGUAGUUAGAAUAGGAAAAAGGAGUCCAAAAUGAUGGUGGCUAAAAGGCAGAGAAAUGGAAAAGCCCACAAAAAUGGAACAAAAGAAAAUCCAUGGACCAGAGUGAGAACUUCAGGUGAAACAAACAUGUCCCCUUCUUGGCUAGCCCAAUUUGCAUAGGGUAGGCUCAGGAGGGAGGAGACAAAUGGAUAAAACGAGGAAGCCAAGAAGGAUUGAGCCUCUCUCCCUUUGGGUUCAGCACACCCUUGUGCCUCAAUGGGGUACUAUCCUUUGCUUGCUGAAUAAAACGGAACUGUAACUGAUCUGUAACAUUGGUCCGCCAUUUCAAAUCUUUGCUGCGGUGAGACAGACUGAGGAAAUGACACACUCCCCCAACAUAUCUGGUGCCGUGAUUUGUAUUUAACCUGGUUGAAACAACCUCAGCUUGGCCCCAGUGAGGCAGAGACCAAGCACUUGGUGAAAGCAGAGACCAAGUCCAACUUGGUGAAAGCUCACAUGGUGGAAGCCAAACAUGAAGCAAACCCAGUGCAGUGGAAGUGAUGAGAAGCCCGGCAUGCUGGAAACUGGCAUAGCAAAAACAAACUUGGCAGAAAGCUCAUGCAGCUCAGUCUCAGAGUCCAGAAGACUUCUAGUUAAGGCAAACAGUGGCAGUGGGUGAAACUGAGGGACUCUGGCAGGGGCUACUCCCCAGUGUGUCUGAAAGGCUCCACUAUCUGCUGCGCCUUAGUAGCUGUUGCCCAAGUGGGUGAGGAUUCAUCUGUCCUUAACCUCCUUCAUGCCGAGGAUCAGGCCAUUGAAAACUGUGGGCAGAGGUCAGAAAUUUAGCAGUUUUUCUGGCUCUGAGUGCACACCUUGACAUAUUAGGUAGACUCAGCAAAGUGGAAGCUGAUGUUAUCACCAUUUUCAAACAAUAGUCUUGGUAUGCAGAAUCAGGAAGGGCACCAUGAAUGCAAUACAGUGACUCAGAGAACAGAAUGGGAUAGCUGAGCCUUUAGAACAGCAGGGUUAAAGGACCAGGGUUAGAAGAACUCUUAUUAAGGUAAGAUAGCAUGGAGGAAAAAAUCUCAUCCCAGAGAUCUUGAUUCUAUCUUCAGUUUUGCUACUAACCUACUGUGUGAACCUAAGAAAGUCAGUUAACAUCUCUGAGCCUUGGUGUCACCGUCUAUAAAGUGAAAGGUUAAAAGGUACCCUUUAAGAUGCUUCCAGUCUUCCAAUAGUAUUAUACCUUUUGGGGGGAUUUGAUUUUCAUGUCUGUGAGACUAUUAAUAGCCAAGUGCAAACCAAGGAAAGCUGUGUUUAAGUGGUUUGCUAGCCUCAGGCUCUGCAAUUUUUAUAUAUCUAUAUAUAAUAGAAGACC